rnacentral:rRNA from 1 species
UACGUAGGGUGCGAGCGUUAAUCGGAAUUACUGGGCGUAAAGCGUGCGCAGGCGGUUUUGUAAGCCAGAUGUGAAAGCCCCGGGCUUAACCUGGGAAUGGCAUUUGGGACUGCAAGGCUUGAGUGCGGCAGAGGAGACUGGAAUUCCUGGUGUAGCAGUGAAAUGCGUAGAUAUCAGGAGGAACACCAGUGGCGAAGGCGCCGCUCUGGGCCGAGACUGACGCUGAGGAGCGAAAGCGUGGGGAGCGAACAGG